rnacentral:rRNA from 1 species
UUUAUGGAGAGUUUGAUCCUGGCUCAGGAUGAACGCUGGCGGCGUGCCUAAUACAUGCAAGUCGAGCGAACGGACGAGAAGCUUGCUUCUCUGAUGUUAGCGGCGGACGGGUGAGUAACACGUGGAUAACCUACCUAUAAGACUGGGAUAACUUCGGGAAACCGGAGCUAAUACCGGAUAAUAUUUUGAACCGCAUGGUUCAAAAGUGAAAGACGGUCUUGCUGUCACUUAUAGAUGGAUCCGCGCUGCAUUAGCUAGUUGGUAAGGUAACGGCUUACCAAGGCAACGAUGCAUAGCCGACCUGAGAGGGUGAUCGGCCACACUGGAACUGAGACACGGUCCAGACUCCUACGGGAGGCAGCAGUAGGGAAUCUUCCGCAAUGGGCGAAAGCCUGACGGAGCAACGCCGCGUGAGUGAUGAAGGUCUUCGGAUCGUAAAACUCUGUUAUUAGGGAAGAACAUAUGUGUAAGUAACUGUGCACAUCUUGACGGUACCUAAUCAGAAAGCCACGGCUAACUACGUGCCAGCAGCCGCGGUAAUACGUAGGUGGCAAGCGUUAUCCGGAAUUAUUGGGCGUAAAGCGCGCGUAGGCGGUUUUUUAAGUCUGAUGUGAAAGCCCACGGCUCAACCGUGGAGGGUCAUUGGAAACUGGAAAACUUGAGUGCAGAAGAGGAAAGUGGAAUUCCAUGUGUAGCGGUGAAAUGCGCAGAGAUAUGGAGGAACACCAGUGGCGAAGGCGACUUUCUGGUCUGUAACUGACGCUGAUGUGCGAAAGCGUGGGGAUCAAACAGGAUUAGAUACCCUGGUAGUCCACGCCGUAAACGAUGAGUGCUAAGUGUUAGGGGGUUUCCGCCCCUUAGUGCUGCAGCUAACGCAUUAAGCACUCCGCCUGGGGAGUACGACCGCAAGGUUGAAACUCAAAGGAAUUGACGGGGACCCGCACAAGCGGUGGAGCAUGUGGUUUAAUUCGAAGCAACGCGAAGAACCUUACCAAAUCUUGACAUCCUUUGACAACUCUAGAGAUAGAGCCUUCCCCUUCGGGGGACAAAGUGACAGGUGGUGCAUGGUUGUCGUCAGCUCGUGUCGUGAGAUGUUGGGUUAAGUCCCGCAACGAGCGCAACCCUUAAGCUUAGUUGCCAUCAUUAAGUUGGGCACUCUAAGUUGACUGCCGGUGACAAACCGGAGGAAGGUGGGGAUGACGUCAAAUCAUCAUGCCCCUUAUGAUUUGGGCUACACACGUGCUACAAUGGACAAUACAAAGGGCAGCGAAACCGCGAGGUCAAGCAAAUCCCAUAAAGUUGUUCUCAGUUCGGAUUGUAGUCUGCAACUCGACUACAUGAAGCUGGAAUCGCUAGUAAUCGUAGAUCAGCAUGCUACGGUGAAUACGUUCCCGGGUCUUGUACACACCGCCCGUCACACCACGAGAGUUUGUAACACCCGAAGCCGGUGGAGUAACCUUUUAGGAGCUAGCCGUCGAAGGUGGGACAAAUGAUUGGGGUGAAGUCG